UACGUAGGUGGCAAGCGUUGUCCGGAUUUAUUGGGUUUAAAGGGUGCGUAGGCGGCCCCGUAAGUCAGUGCUGAAAUAUCCCGGCUUAACCGGGAGGGUGGCAUUGAUACUGCGAGGCUUGAGUAAAGUUGAGGUAGGCGGAAUUGACGGUGUAGCGGUGAAAUGCUUAGAUAUCGUCAAGAACACCGAUAGUGUAGACAGCUUACUAAGCUUUAACUGACGCUGAGGCACGAAAGUGUGGGGAUCAAACAGG
rnacentral:rRNA from 1 species